UCCGGAGUCCCGCUGCGAAGAUGCUCAAAGUCACGGUGCCCUCCUGCUCCGCCUCGUCCUGCUCUUCGGUCACUGCCAGUGCGGCCCCGGGGACCGCGAGCCUCGUCCCGGAUUACUGGAUCGACGGCUCCAACAGGGAUGCGCUGAGCGAUUUCUUCGAGGUGGAGUCGGAGCUGGGACGGGGUGCUACAUCCAUUGUGUACAGAUGCAAACAGAAGGGGACCCAGAAGCCUUAUGCUCUCAAAGUGUUAAAGAAAACACACACCAUGUCCAAUGCUUGUUGCUGCCCUCACCUCUAAACCGUCACCCACUCUGUGCAGUGAUCCUUUCCAUUCACUUCUUCAUUGAGCCUAAACUCACACUGAAAAAUCUGUGAAAAGAGCAUUUGAGACAGAGUGCUAUCAAGUGCCAAGUGAAAGAACCCAACAGUGGAGACUAUCCUGGCUUCCUGGAAGAUGACCAGUGAGCCGGUGUAAAAGAAGAGGAAGAAUACUAGGAGAGUUCAGCACAAUGGACAGGGCCAAGGCAUUAUUAGCAUAUACUAGUGG
rnacentral:sRNA from 1 species